rnacentral:rRNA from 1 species
AGUGAACGCUGGCGGCAUGCCUAACACAUGCAAGUCGAACGGUAACAGGCCCGCAAGGGUGCUGACGAGUGGCGGACGGGUGAGGAAUACAUCGGAAUUUGCCCAGUCGUGGGGGAUAACGUAGGGAACUUACGCUAAUACCGCAUACGACCUAACGGUGAAAGCGGGGGAGUCGCAAGACCUCGCGCGGAUGGAUAAGCCGAUGUCGGAUUAGCUAGUUGGCGGGGUAGAGGCCCACCAAGGCGACGAUCGUUAGCUGGUCUGAGAGGAUGAUCAGCCACAUUGGGACUGAGACACGGCCCAAACUCCUACGGGAGGCAGCAGUGGGGAAUAUUGGACAAUGGGCGAAAGCCUGAUCCAGCAAUGCCGCGUGUGUGAAGAAGGUC